rnacentral:rRNA from 1 species
GACGAACGCUGGCGGCGCGCCUAACACAUGCAAGUCGAACGGAGCUUAGAGAGCUUGCUUUUUAAGCUUAGUGGCGAACGGGUGAGUAACGCGUGAGUAACCUGCCCUAGAGUGGGGGACAACAGUUGGAAACGACUGCUAAUACCGCAUAAGCCCACGGUACCGCAUGGUACUGAGGGAAAAGGAUUUAUUCGCUUUAGGAUGGACUCGCGUCCAAUUAGCUAGUUGGUGAGGUAACGGCCCACCAAGGCGACGAUUGGUAGCCGGACUGAGAGGUUGAACGGCCACAUUGGGACUGAGACACGGCCCAGACUCCUACGGGAGGCAGCAGUGGGGGAUAUUGCACAAUGGGGGAAACCCUGAUGCAGCGACGCCGCGUGGAGGAAGAAGGUUUUCGGAUUGUAAACUCCUGUCGUUAGGGACGAUAAUGACGGUACCUAACAAGAAAGCAC